GUAGUCGUGGCCGAGUGGUUAAGGCGAUCGACUUGAAAUCCAUUGGGGUCACCCCGCAUAGGUUCGAAUCCUGCCGACUACG
rfam:Danio rerio chromosome 4, GRCz11 reference primary assembly.